rnacentral:tRNA from 1 species
GCCGGGGUGGUGAAACUGGUAGACACGCGAGACUCAAAAUCUCGUGCUCUUACGAGCGUGUGGGUUCGAGUCCCACCCCCGGCA